rnacentral:rRNA from 1 species
GAUGGACCCGCGGUGCAUUAGCUAGUUGGUGAGGUAACGGCUCACCAAGGCAACGAUGCAUAGCCGACCUGAGAGGGUGAUCGGCCACACUGGGACUGAGACACGGCCCAGACUCCUACGGGAGGCAGCAGUAGGGAAUCUUCGGCAAUGGACGAAAGUCUGACCGAGCAACGCCGCGUGAGUGAAGAAGGUUUUCGGAUCGUAAAACUCUGUUGUUAGAGAAGAACAAGGAUGAGAGUAAAAUGUUCAUCCCUUGACGGUAUCUAACCAGAAAGCCACGGCUAACUACGUGCCAGCAGCCGCGGUAAUACGUAGGUGGCAAGCGUUGUCCGGAUUUAUUGGGCGUAAAGCGAGCGCAGGCGGUUUCUUAAGUCUGAUGUGAAAGCCCCCGGCUCAACCGGGGAGGGUCAUUGGAAACUGGGAGACUUGAGUGCAGAAGAGGAGAGUGGAAUUCCAUGUGUAGCGGUGAAAUGCGUAGAUAUAUGGAGGAACACCAGUGGCGAAGGCGGCUCUCUGGUCUGUAACUGACGCUGAGGCUCGAAAGCGUGGGGAGCGAACAGGAUUAGAUACCCUGGUAGUCCACGCC